CAUGUGGUGCUCCAUCUACCUA
rnacentral:piRNA from 1 species